rnacentral:ncRNA from 2 species
CAGGCCAGAAGAGGCGCGUUGCCCAGAAAAUCGUAUCCGAGGAACCAGUAACAAGGACGAUACGUGAGGGGGAGCAACGCCGAGAUGAUAAAGCGGCUGGUCACGCUUAUUGUCGGCUGCAGGGGCUGAAUCCUCUGGGUUGUCACCAGAAACGUUCGCAGUCGAGCGUUUCAUAUCCGGCUCAAAAGGCUGGAUAGACAAGGUGGAGCACUUCUGGGUAA